rnacentral:rRNA from 1 species
CCUACGGGAGGCAGCAGUGGGGAAUAUUGCGCAAUGGGCGAAAGCCUGACGCAGCGACGCCGCGUGAGGGAUGAAGGUCUUCGGAUCGUAAACCCCUUUUAGCAGGGAAGAACGGUCACUGUGCUAAUCAGCCGUGAAUUGACGGUACCUGCAAAGGAAGCACCGGCUAACUCCAUGCCAGCCGCCGCGGUAAUACGGAGGGUGCGAGCGUUAAUCGGAAUUACUGGGCGUAAAGCGCUCGUAGGCGGUAUGUCAAGUCAAGGGUGAAAUCCCCGCGCUCAACGUGGGAACUGCCGUUGAAACUGGCAGACUGGAGUGUGUGAGAGGAGAGUGGAAUUCCAGGUGUAGGGGUGAAAUCCGUAGAUAUCUGGAGGAACAUCAGUGGCGAAGGCGACUAUCUGGCACAUAACCGACGCUGAGGAGCGAAAGCGUGGGUAGCAAACAGGAUUAGAUACCCGUGUAGUC